rnacentral:rRNA from 1 species
GACGAACGCUGGCGGCGUGCUUAACACAUGCAAGUCGAACGGAAAGGCCCUGCUUUUGUGGGGUGCUCGAGUGGCGAACGGGUGAGUAACACGUGAGUAACCUGCCCUUGACUUUGGGAUAACUUCAGGAAACUGGGGCUAAUACCGGAUAGGAGCUCCUGCUGCAUGGUGGGGGUUGGAAAGUUUCGGCGGUUGGGGAUGGACUCGCGGCUUAUCAGCUUGUUGGUGGGGUAGUGGCUUACCAAGGCUUUGACGGGUAGCCGGCCUGAGAGGGUGACCGGCCACAUUGGGACUGAGAUACGGCCCAGACUCCUACGGGAGGCAGCAGUGGGGAAUAGUGCACAAUGGGCGGAAGCCUGAUGCAGCAACGCCGCGUGCGGGAUGACGGCCUUCGGGUUGUAAACCGCUUUCGCCUGUGACGAAGCGUGAGUGACGGUAAUGGGUAAAGAAGCACCGGCUAACUACAUG